CCUACGGGGGGCUGCAGUGGGGAAUAUUGGACAAUGGGGGGAACCCUGAUCCAGCCAUGCCGCGUGUGUGAAGAAGGCCCUCGGGUUGUAAAGCACUUUCAGUGAGGAAGAACGCCUGGUGGUUAAUACCCAUCAGGAAAGACAUCACUCACAGAAGAAGCACCGGCUAACUCCGUGCCAGCAGCCGCGGUAAUACGGAGGGUGCGAGCGUUAAUCGGAAUUACUGGGCGUAAAGCGCGCGUAGGUGGCUUGAUAAGCCGGUUGUGAAAGCCCCGGGCUCAACCUGGGAACGGCAUCCGGAACUGUCAAGCUAGAGUGCAGGAGAGGAAGGUAGAAUUCCCGGUGUAGCGGUGAAAUGCGUAGAGGUCGGGAGGAAUACCAGUGGCGAAGGCGGCCUUCUGGACUGACACUGACACUGAGGUGCGAAAGCGUGGGUAGCAAACAGGAUUAGAUACCCGAGUAGUC
rnacentral:rRNA from 1 species